GCAGUCUGCAACUCGACUGCAUGAAGCUGGAAUCGCUAGUAAUCGCGAAUCAGAAUGUCGCGGUGAAUACGUUCCCGGGUCUUGUACACACCGCCCGUCACACCAUGGGAGUUGGUAACGCCCGAAGUCAGUGACCCAACCGCAAGGAGGGAGCUGCCGAAGGCGGGACCGGUAAUGGGGUGAAGUCGUAACAAGGUACC
rnacentral:rRNA from 1 species